CCUUCUCUCACCACUUUGGGCAGUCAAUGAUCCAGUUGGGCUGUCAGUUGGUAUUCACAAGGACUUGGAUGAUUCAGUAAUGAGCAUUAGCAUGUAAGACCUCGUACGUUGUUCUGGUGGCGACCAUGGAAUUGGCUCGCUGUGAUUACAGCAUCCAUUGAACAAUUUGUAUGCGAAAUUUGUUGCAGGAGAGCAUAGUCCAACUCCAACAGUCACGCAUUUGCGACUUUAAAGUGUGCUUGCGCAAAUGGCACACGGUAACAGGGCGUGACAACCCCAUUUGCCAUUUGCUUGCCAGGAAGAAGUUGUGUUAAGCAAAUACCCUCGGUCAAGAUUCAGAAUCGGCACAAAGAAAGAAGCGAAUCUGGAAGCCUGGAUCAGCAAGCAAACACAGAGGAAUCCGCCACCUUGAGUGUCCGUGCGUCAGGUGCCCGUGGCCUCAUGA